rnacentral:rRNA from 1 species
GACAGAGGUGCCGAGCGUUAGGCGGAAUCACUGGGCGUAAAGGGCGCGUAGGCGGCCUGGCAAGUCGAUGGUGAAAGCCCGAGGCUCAACUUCGGGUCGGCCACUGAUACUGCUGGGCUUGAGUCGACUAGAGGCAGAUGGAAUUCCGGGUGUAGCGGUGGAAUGCGCAGAUAUCAGGAGGAACACCAAUAGCGAAGGCAGCUCGCUGGGACGUUACUGACACUGAGGCGCGAAAGCGUGGGGAGCGAACAGG